rnacentral:rRNA from 1 species
UGGGGAAUAUUGCACAAUGGGCGCAAGCCUGAUGCAGCCAUGCCGCGUGUAUGAAGAAGGCCUUCGGGUUGUAAAGUACUUUCAGCGGGGAGGAAGGUGUUGAGGUUAAUAACCUCAGCAAUUGACGUUACCCGCAGAAGAAGCACCGGCUAACUCCGUGCCAGCAGCCGCGGUAAUACGGAGGGUGCAAGCGUUAAUCGGAAUUACUGGGCGUAAAGCGCACGCCGGCGGUCUGUCAAGUCGGAUGUGAAAUCCCCGGGCUCAACCUGGGAACUGCAUUCGAAACUGGCAGGCUAGAGUCUUGUAGAGGGGGGUAGAAUUCCAGGUGUAGCGGUGAAAUGCGUAGAGAUCUGGAGGAAUACCGGUGGCGAAGGCGGCCCCCUGGACAAAGACUGACGCUCAGGUGCGAAAGCGUGGGGAGCAAACA